rnacentral:rRNA from 1 species
UACAGAGGGUGCAAGCGUUAAUCGGAAUUACUGGGCGUAAAGCGCACGUAGGUGGCCAAUUAAGUCAAAUGUGAAAUCCCCGAGCUUAACUUGGGAAUUGCAUUCGAUACUGGUUGGCUAGAGUAUGGGAGAGGAUGGUAGAAUUCCAGGUGUAGCGGUGAAAUGCGUAGAGAUCUGGAGGAAUACCGAUGGCGAAGGCAGCCAUCUGGCCUAAUACUGACACUGAGGUGCGAAAGCAUGGGGAGCAAACAGG